AUGAGCAAGCUGAACCUCAGAGAGCUUAGUGAUUGCCUUGAGGCACAGCUACCAAGGAUCAGUGACUGAGCCUCAAAACCACCUCUUCUGAGAGUAUUGCUUUCUUACCCGAGGAUGGCCCAUCAGGGUGAUCUGGAAGGCAGAAGACAGGAGUUUUUCCAUGAACUCACUGUGGUGGGGGUGCUCCUUCGAAAAGUACUGAGUACACAGAAGUGGCGACAGGCAAAUGGAGAUCCUGGAAAAGGAGGUUUUCUACCAAAAUAUCCUUGUGAACAUCAGGACAGCUUCCAAACUGAGAAAGAGUGGGCUCGAGAAAGCUCUAACACUUCCUUCCCUGACACAAAGUGCUUCGGGCUGUGUUUGGCAUCAAUACGUCGGAGCCGUGGCAACGUUCUUCGUGCAUCUCCGCUUGGGCGUCAUUUUGUGAGUAGGACAAACCCCAUCAAUUCUUACCGCAUCUAUUAGAAAUGCAGCAUUGUGAAUGGAAGCAAUGUUUUCUGGGGCGCAUCACUGGAAAUGAAAACUCCUUCAUUUUUCUAUAUCUUUACUGAAUAGACCUAACUCUUCCCUUCGGCUUCACUAGAUGUGGAUGGCCCUAAAAUCCUCUCAGGGAGACUAUCCAGAGAGAAAGAAUGUAGCUUUAAAAGCCAAUUAGAAAAUAUUCACAACAUAUGUAGCAAAGGGCUAAUGUUCUUCCUAUAGAAAGAACUCUUUCAGAUGGAUAAGAAAGAUACUAGGAUCU